UGGACAGGCGUUCUGCAUCAUGUGACUGGAGUACAUGAGCGGUACCUUGGUGCCUGUCACCAUGGCACCUUGGAGGAAGACAGGAGUAAAGAAUGGAUUCCAAAGAGUUCUGCAGCACAUAAAUGACUCCAGCAAAGUGUUUAUGAUGCACGUUGGUUGAAGAACAUUCCAAAGUAUCUCUCUUUCAGAUCAACUGCAGACCUGGAGUCAUUCCACAACCACAUACUUAUGUAUGUGUCAAAAUGCUUCUGCUUGCUCGUACCCAGUUGGCAGGCCUGUAUUACAACUACCACCUCAACCGAGGAGCACGCAAAAACGCUGAUGACUCAUUUCAGUAUGGCAGAAUUUUUAACAAAAGAUCUAAGAUGUGGCGACUAUACACCAUCAAGAACAAGAAAGAUUCCAAGUACAUCCCAGAUCUACAGAGCAUCAUUCUGCAAUCAAGACUGCUGGCUCCCAGAGGGAUGGCAGGGAAGCAGCCUCCUGCACAUGAUGAUCCACGGAGGCUUGGGCCCUUGUCGGGUGGCCCAGCCCCUACAGUACAGGAGCUGAAGGAGCACAAAGCCCGCCGAGGGCUAGGCCAACCAUCUUACCCUUGACCCGUUUGUAGAUCUAAUGAAGACAUCUGUUUUCCUUGAGGAGAACGCAGCUUACAACUUCUGUGUAGCAACUUGUGAAAGAUGCCAAGUGGAUGCUGUCUUCAUGUCUUCCAUCCACAAUGUGCUUUAUACAUUUUCUCAUAGAUGAUAUGUAAGAAAGAUUUUAUUAAAAAAAAAAAAAUUGAAUAUUAACCUUCUGAGUAAAAAGUGUAGUAUCAAAUAAUAAAUGUUCAUCCAGCUUGAUUUGACACAGUGUUAGUAAAGGUAUAUUCUUGAAUACAGUUCAAUCAGAGGAUGCAUACAAAAGUACACAAUAAGUUUACACUCUGGCUGGAACAAAAACUACAUCAAUGCCAUGUGGGUCUGGAAAACGAUCCCGAAUCUUCCAGACGCAACAACUGGGGAUCACAACUCUGUUUCCUGGUCCGAGUACACCAUAUUGCCAAACAACAAAGUUCCUGUAAGCAGCAUAGCGAAACUGCCUGUGACGUUCUCCUAAUUCCUGGGAGUCCUCCUCUGCCCUAAGGUCAUUCCAGAUCCGUUUGGCCAGUCUUAGGACAUCUUCCUGCAGGAUGUACACUUCCAAGUGAGGCAACAGUGAUAUGCAGUUUUGUGGUUGUUGUUGACAGCAUUUCUGUUCCAGUAGUGUGAGCAUAUUUCUGCAGUUUCCACAGACACACCAGCUCGGUGCCUGUGGAUGA